UGAUUAUCCGAACGGGGAAAGUGGGGUUCAGUUAGUGUAAAAAAAUAUUUUUGAAGAUUUGAGGAUUUUGUGACAAAAUCAUCAGCUGACAAGGACGCAGUGAGGAUUUUGAACAAGUUUCAAGUAGAAUGCAUAUGAAGAAUUGAAUAGACUGGGUGAUAGUAGCAUAGAGGAAAAGUAGGGUCCGAUCACAUUCACUUAGAUGAAAUAUCAAAUUGAAGAAAUAGCUACAAGUGAAUGCUGUUGAGGACUUUGAAAUCACAGUUUAUCUAGGUAAACAGAAAUCAUCAAGUGUUUU
rnacentral:lncRNA from 1 species